rnacentral:rRNA from 1 species
GAUGAACGCUGGCGGCGUGCUUAACACAUGCAAGUCGAACGAUGAAGCCCAGCUUGCUGGGCGGAUUAGUGGCGAACGGGUGAGUAACACGUGAGUAACCUGCCCUUAACUCUGGGAUAAGCCUGGGAAACUGGGUCUAAUACCGGAUAGGAGCGUCCACCGCAUGGUGGGUGUUGGAAAGAUUUAUCGGUUUUGGAUGGACUCGCGGCCUAUCAGCUUGUUGGUGAGGUAAUGGCUCACCAAGGCGACGACGGGUAGCCGGCCUGAGAGGGUGACCGGCCACACUGGGACUGAGACACGGCCCAGACUCCUACGGGAGGCAGCAGUGGGGAAUAUUGCACAAUGGGCGCAAGCCUGAUGCAGCGACGCCGCGUGAGGGAUGACGGCCUUCGGGUUGUAAACCUCUUUCAGUAGGGAAGAAGCGAAAGUGACGGUACCUGCAGAAGAAGCACCGGCUAACUACGUG